CUCCCCGUCUCCUCCCUCAGCUCACAUUCCCUGCUGUUGUCAGUUCCGUAUUUGGAUGACAUUCAUAUUGAUUGUUUCCCUCUGCAAACACUGUGUGGCCAGUCUGAUGCAACCAGAAGAAUCCUAUUGAUUUACUGAGUGUGAGGGUUAUUUAGAUUGAUAUCCUUCUGGAGGAGUGAUAACGCUUUCAUCUCCCCUCAGAAUUAUGGUUAACCUUUCCAUUUUGGGGGAAGGGCAUGGAAAUGAAUUUCCUUUGCCCUGUUAACUGUGGUAAGAGGGAGUAUAGGUGUGCAGACUUCCGAAGUCUCCAAGGACAUGGGGGUCCUAAUACAGCUACCCACAAAAGCAGAGCAGUGAGAAAUUUAAAGGUGCAGAGUUUAGUUCUAACUGCCCCCCUGCAAAGUCAGUGCUCACAGGAACAAAAGAAAUGGAGUCCUGCAUCCCUGAAAAUGAGACACAGCAGAAACUAUGUUGAUCUUUCUUCCCAAGAUCAUGCAUUAACAGCAUUCUGGCAGGACUAAGGAAUGAAGAACACAGAGGGGCUAUGUGAAUAAAGAAGGAAAAUAUCUUCAGGGGAGGCCACCCAUGCCCCACCCAGGUGUUGGUGACAUUCUUUCCAAAUGCCAUUCAGGGAAGCCCCCUUCACAACACGUAGCCAGCAUAAAGCUCCUCAUUAAACAAUGUCAGGAAAUGUGGGAGUUCUGACACUCCCAGCCCUUCAGCCUGGCAAACCUGAAGUACAAGAGGACAACUUUUUCCUGCAUUUUAGAAACCAAAUUGAAGGGAUGGAUAUAUGGAUGCUUGGAUACCUGUGCAAUACAGCAUCAAGACAGAGCUGAAGCUUACCCAGCCUUGGUUAACUAACUUCAUGGUUCUCACGACCUGAAUCUAAAAAUAGCUUUAAGAUGGCUGUAUGGAUACUCCUCUCACUAAUUGUUUUCUACAAUUCAGAACCUGGAAUGCUACCUUCAGAUUAUGGAAGCUGGCAAAAUUCAUAACCUGGCAAAAGGGAAAAUAUUCACAUAAUUCUCUCGGCAAGAAACCAAAUCAAACUAUUCUUUUUAAUUGCAGGGAACAAAACAGGGAAGCACUGGACCAAGACCAAGGAAGAAGGACUACAGUAACUGACAAUAUCUAAGACCAUAUGCUCCUGCAGGUUGUUGAUAUUUGUGGAAGCUGCUAACAGUGGAAAAGUGCAUCUGGUCACUUGGGAAGGCACAACACUACACAAUUGUUCCUCCUACAGCAGCUGGGGUGCUGCUCCAGGAUGCAAUUUCAAAGCUGGUGUUGGAUAAAUGGUCCUGCAGGGAGGUGGUGGGUUUGCUCAACCACAUCCCACAGGCUUUCCCUGGGAGAAGUUGUAGGACGCGGCGGAAUUUCUUUCUUCUUUGUGUCUGUGUUGGCUAAAGCAGGACAGAGGAGCUUGAAAAGGCUCUCCCUCCUCAAGGAACACUAUCUGAUUCGUAAGCAUUCCUAGAGGUUAAGGCUGGUGACUAUCAAGAAAGCAAAUACUUCACGCAAGGGGCUGGGGGCACGGAGAAGGAGGGUGUGAGGUGCCUCACUAAACCACUCUAUGUGAAAGCCUGGGUUGUCAAAGCAUGCUGUACACUUUGGAAAAUAUGUGCAGCUCUGUGACAUGUCUGAGCAAACCCCUCACUUACCCAGCUGGCUGCUCAUGUGCACGUGAGGAGAGUUGGAUCUGCAUCCACAGGUUCCCUCUUCGGAGGCGACAGAAAAAGGCAGGCACGGGCCCUUGGAAGGAGCCUCUUCUGAGAUGGUCAUGGAAACAGCACUCAGUGAAGAUGAUGACAGACUGCUCAUGCCUCAGAGAUCUCACCAGCACCUGGUUUGGUCACCUUAGUACUUCUCACUUGUGGACUAAACCCCAGCCACUUGCAUUACCUUAUGUGAUGUGCCUGGUUCUCUGCUCGCUUCUUGUGACAGACCUCUGUGACCCUCAAGCCCAGUGCUCCUCCCAGCCACAUUCCUCAUCUGUUCCUUCCACAGCCUCCAAAUUUCCCUCCAGCUAACCCUCAGGAGCAGAAUUCUCAUGCACAUUGCUCCCAGAUUGACAUGGCAUCCCUUGGUUCUGAGCUGCCAGGAGAUGGCCCUGGGCUCUGUUUUACCAUUCAGCUGUGCACAAGUGGCCUCACACUCCAGAUGUCUGGGAAUCUGCCCUGGAUUUAACAUUGGAAGAGUGACUUAUGCUCAAAAUACUGACCCAGCUGGUGUGGAAAUUUCAUUUUUUCCAACUUAUGAUAAUGAAUUGAAUCAUAAAAAAAAUCAUAAAACAACUCCAUAUUGCAUCCAUGGAGAUUCACUAGGAAGAUUAGCACUUAAUGGAUUUUUACAUGGAAUGGAUUUUUUUUUUUCCAAAGUUCAACGAGAGUCAAGACUACAUCCGUACGUGUUUAGGAGCCAAAAAUUAUUAUGCCAUACACAGUCAGGUGGCAUUUGUCCAGAAGCUGACAUGUCCUUUCAUUGCUAAAAACCUUGGUUUGGAAUGGGAUGGAGUCAAGUACAGGAAGGAAAUGAUUAUUGAAACUGUAAGAAUUUGAGACCUCAGCUAUCUUCAGACACAACAAAACAUUUCCUCCUGUUAUCAGCAGCCAUAAAAAACAUAGAGAUGCUGCAACAGAAGUACCCAAGUGAAGGCAAAGUUCCAUAUGAGAAUGCUUUGGGUUCCAGAAGGUGCAGGUUCACAGCAUAAACUUAGAGACUGGCUAUUGAGAACACACUGGCUGGCACCUUUCUGUCAGAAAAACAGAAGACAGCUUUCUCCUGCCUUCCUGGAAAGUCCUGCAUGGAAUAGACUCCUGCAGCUCACAGGACUCACAGCAGCAACUCAGUCAAGUGCACAUUCCACUCUGACCCCUGUGUUUCUCACACUGAUCUGACAAUCUCUUUGAGGAAUCUGAGGAGCCUGAAUGGCUCAAAAUAAUAUUGAUGAACUGCUGAAGGUCUGCCUACAGUUUUUGUAGAGUCAUGAGGGAAUUGACUGUGCACUCUCUAUUAAUCAUCUUGUGGCUGAAUCUCUCAGAUGAAGGCUUCAGCCCUCCAUUUAGCAAUGUGGUCAAAGGCAGGCUGGUGGAAACUGAAAAGUAAGACCAGCAUUACAUAUCCAGCAGUAGAUUGUGAAAAUUCCUUCAGUGAUCUAAGUCCAAAUUUUACUGACAGAAUCUUAGUAUCUCCAGAAAAUUAAUCCAAAAUUACUCCUAGUCAAAAGUUCAGGAACAGCCAAUUUUUAAAGACAAGAAGGGUGAACUUGUCUCUUCCCAAGAAGUAUUCUCUGUACACCAGCCGUGAAAUGCAAGGGGGUACAUUGAUGUUAGCACCACCCAGGCUGUCAAUAAAGAACUUCUGUCCUCAGAAAUACCAAAUCAAGUUCAUAUGAAUUUCCCACUCUUCCAAAACCACUUUCCCACCAGACAGAAGAGAUCACAACACUGAAGAGCAUUCUCUCCUUCUCACAUCUCUGCAGUCUGUAGGCACUGUGCCUGUCACAGCAUUCCCAAGAGGUUUCCUUUACCAUCCUGUCUCAUCUCUGCAAGCAGCUGCUUCUGUUUUGUGUGAGAGUUCUUGGAGUUCUUGCUUUGCUUAUUGAGGCUAAAGCACUGAAUAGUUGGUAAAGAGCUAAGUUCUGUUGGGAAGAUAAAAUCCCAAUGCAGAUUGAGAGUUUUGCUUAACCUAUAAAGUAAUUCUGGAACAGCUAUUGCAUUGGCAGAACUCUAAAAUUUUUCUAACCAAGUUUGAUUGUUCUUGGCUCUUCCUAAUUUGCUUUCUUUAGGGCUGUAGCUGCUCCCCACUCUGCAGAUGUUUGUCCCUUUACUGUUCAUAGGAUUUAAAUAUACACAGAUAUAUAAGAGGGAUUUGACCAUCUACUCUCAGUGGUCCAAGGUCAGCUGAAGUCUGGACCUUUUAUUUUCUCUAUGCUCCACCAAGUGAGAACAAAACUUAUGCAAGACUUCCUUGGGGAGCACUGGGCCUGAGGUUUUUUGCAGUGCACAAGGCUAAAAUUCAAAUAUGAAGCACAGAUGUUUGGACAGGAAUCUUGGACCUCUUUGUUUUGAACUACAGUGACCCACUCAGCCUCCCCAACACAUGAAACUGAAAUUCCUGCACAGCUAAUGAGUGGGAUGUGAAGUUGCCUGGCAGGCAGUGACCGGUUUAGGAUUCUCUGGGAUUUGCAGGUGGAAGGGCUGUUCUCUCCUUUUCUUUCUCCUCACUCAUUGCUCACACACAUCAUUCCAUCCAUGUGCAGGUUUGAAUCUCUGUCCACCAUCCAAACUGCUGACCCAGUGAUCUUCUUGCAGAUGGUGACAUUCCUCCCUUCUGCCAAGGACAGGUAUUUUUGAGCCCUGGUAACAGGUAAAAUAAAAAGGAAGCAGUAUGGCAUAAACUAGUCAGUCAGUUUAAUUAGAGACAGACCUCCACUUUUAAAUACUUUCUAUAUCCCCUGUGUAGUGCACAUAUUUUGAAGUGUAUAUAUAUAUAUAUAUAUAAUAUAACAAAGUGCUACUGAAACCUUCCCUUUGAUUUAGCUGCAAUUCCACAAAUAUUUACAAUAUCAGCAAUGAGUAACUGCAGAACCAAGACAGGAUAUGCUGCAUUAAUAACCAAAUGUUAAAUAAGUUGUUAAAGGGACUGGCAAUGGCUGUGGUGGCUUGGAUGAGGUGGAGGCUGCUUGGCUGAUUGGGCUUUUCUUGGAGUCAAUGACAGAUCCUCUUACACCCCCUUACUUUUAGAAUCCAAUUCUAAAUCAUCCAACAUCCAAUUCAAUAUCAUCUUCUUUGCAAAAAUUAUAUAUAUUUUCUAUAUUAAUGCCUGAUCACGACAAGAUAAGGAGUAUCUUUUUCUGUUCUGUGUGUCUGACCUUUCAUGUUCAUUUUGCUGCUGCAAAGCACAUGAAAUGCUAUGGAAAAACUGUGGGAAAAACCCCAAUUUUUUAUGUAGUGAUAUAAUGAACAUCUUUGUGCAUCCAAGAUAAUAGGAAUUCCAGCAUUCAUGUUUACUGUAAAAUACAGCAAGCAAAGGCUGAGUAAAUCCUGACUUUUUAAUACAGAAAUAAUUUUGGCUGCAUCUUUGGCUAGGUAUGACAUGGAAACUGGUGAUUGUUUGUGCUUUGCUCUUUUGAAAUCCCACAUGAGAAACAAGUUUUUUGUCUAGAAACGAACUAUUACUUUUUUGGGUUCUAAUGAGUUGGGUAGUACGUUUGUUUCUU